rnacentral:tRNA from 1 species
UGGGGAUAUAGCUCAGUUGGUAGAGUGCUUGCCUUGCAUGCACAAAGCCCUGGGUUCAAUCCCCAGUAUCCCAG